GACCUCGAAUCAGGUAGGAGUACCCGCUGAACUUAAGCAUAUC
rnacentral:rRNA from 1 species